rnacentral:misc_RNA from 1 species
GAAAUGCGAUAAGUAAUGUGAAUUGCAGAAUUCAGUGAAUCAUCGAAUCUUUGAACGCACCUUGCGCUCCUUGGUAUUCCUUGGAGCAUGCCUGUUUGAGUAUCAUGAAAUCUUCAAAGUAAAUCUUUUGUUAACUCAAUUGGUUUCUACUUUGGUAUUGGAGGUCUUUGCAGCUUCACACCUGCUCCUCUUUGUUCAUUAGCUGGAUCUCAGUGUUAUGCUUGGUUCCACUCGGCGUGAUAAGUUAUCUAUCGCUGAGGACACUGUAAAAGGUGGCCAAGGUAAAUGCAGAUGAACCGCUUCUAAUAGUCCAUUGACUUGGACAAUACUUUUAUGAUCUGAUCUGAAAUCAGGUAGGAAUACCCGCUGAACUUAAGC